CAUACAAUGAGAAGCCUAUGACGGACUGGGGAGCGGAAAGAGGCGGAAAUGACGGCGCAGCUCCACAGUGGCGCGGUGCAGUCUUCCCCUCAGAUAACGGCGGCGGAAGGCCCAGGACGCGGAGCGGGCUGCUCUCCGGUGUGGGACUUGGUUCUCGGUUUUCUCGCGUGUGGGGUAAGAGGAGGAAGAUCUACUCAGUGAUCUGGCUGCGUUUAUUCUCAUUGUCUCUCACUAAACUUCGGUGACAGCUGUUUAAAUUCCUGUCAGCCUCCCACGUCUUCUCGCUAAUCCCUCAACCCCCUCGCCGCCCCUCAAGGCCACGUACUGGUCAGCCGAGGCUGCCACGACGCCACGUCACAAACUGGGUGCACGAACGGCAGCAACCACUUCCUCACAGCUCUGGCGCCUGCAAGUCCAAGAUCGGGGUGCCAGCACAGCCAGGCUCCGGUGAGGGCUCGCCGAGGGCCACCUCCACCCCGAGUCCUCACGUGGCAUUUCCUCUCUGGUCAUGUGGAAAGAGAGGACAGACAGUGAGCUCUUUUUGUGAGGACAUUAAUUCUAUCGGAUCAGGGUCUCACUCUCAUGAUCUCAUUUAACCUGCAUUGCCUCCGUAGAGGCCCCGUCUCCAAAUACAGCCGAACCUUGAACACCCUGGGCGUGCGCUGUGCGGGCUGUGCACACAGGUCUCCUUCCAGCUCUGCCGCGCAGACGCCAGGACCAGCCCCUCGCCCUCCGCUCCCCGGCCCACGCGGCGGGAAGCCGGUGAGGACGAAGACUUUAUGAGGAUCCACUUCCACUCAGUGCAUGGACCAGCCAGUUGUGGAUCUGCUGUCUCAGUGGUAGCAACAAUAAAAUCACCUACAAAGCCCAUGUCUCUGGAUAGAGGAACAGGGAAGAAAAUGCCCCCAGUAUGUGAAAAGUUGUGGGGUGUCCCUACUCUUUCUCUCUUGUAUCUCUCCACUGAAGUAUGAGCACAAUUGGGCAGAACCUAGAAAUAAAGUGGAAACUUAAACUAGAAGAACCUAAUCUUUCUGGAUUCCUUCAGAGGAACUGGGACAAGAGGCCUCUAAGAACCCGACAGGAUAGGGGAAACCUCUCAGAAGAGAGAGCCGGAAAACAGAAACCACAGUUCUGUGCAUGAGACAACACAAGUACCAGACUCACCCUCAAAAUAUACAUGUGCAACGAAGCUUAGCAAAGACUUUAGGAACUUAACUAUAGUAUAAACUACCACCCAAGUUUCAGGCCAAUUGUAUGGGGCAUAAGAAUGACAGAUCGAAAUAACACGGAAAAGACUGAAAUCUGAACUGAUACUGGCACCACCACUCACAGAAGCUGAAACAGAACUGGAAGUCUGGACCUUAUUAGGUUGAUUUCUUGCUCUAACCAAAACACCAACAUUCUCCAGAGAAAUCUAACAGGACCAGAGUCCCAUAACAAUUCAAAUUGUUAAGGGUACGAUCCAAAAUUCCUUGAUGUAGCAAACCCAGGAAAAUCUGGCCAAAUCUCAAAGGAAAGAACAAUCAAAGAACAACUCCAAGAUGAUACAGAUGUUGGAAUUAUUAGCCAUUAUAAUCAUAAUUCAUAAGAUUAAAGGUUAACACUCCUGAAACAACUAGGUAAAUACAAACUUCGAGCAGAGAAUAGAAACUAUAUUUAAAAGAACCAAGUGAAAAUUGUAGAACUGAAAAACAACGUCUAAAACAAAAUCUUAACUGAAUGGACACAACUGCAGAAUGAAGAUAACAAGGAAAGGAGCCAAUAAAAGAAGAUAGAGCAGUAGAAAUUGACCCAUCUUAAGGAUACAGAGAAGAUUAAAAUAUAAACAAAUCUUUGGGGACCUAUGUGAAAAUGUCAAGACAUAUAGCAUUCAUAUCAUUGGAGUCUCAAAAGGCACAAACAAAGAGAUUGGGGCAGGAAAAUUAAUAAAAGAAAUAAUGACUACUCACAAACUGGGUGAAAGACAUAAACGUACAGAUUUAAUAUAUUCCGAAAACUCCAAGGAGGAUAAACUCCAAGAAUACCAUGCCUAACCUAGACACACCAUGAUCAAACUCCUGGAAAGCCAAGAUAAAGAAAAUUUCCUGGAAGUAGUCAGAGCAAAGAAAUCACAUUACAUAUAGGGUAACAACAAUUCAGAUGACUACAGAUUUCUCAUCAGAAACUAGGGAUAGGGGACCAGAAGACAGUAGAACAACAUCUUUCAAGGAAUGAGAGAAAAUAAAUGCUAACCCAGAAGUCUACAUCUGGUGAAAACAACCUUUAAGAAUGAAGGAGAAAUAAAGACAUUCUCUGAUGCAGGAGAACCAAGAGAAUUUGUCACCAACCUGUUCAAAAGAAUUGCUAGAGAAAGUCCUUCAUAAUGAAUUGAAACGAUACUAGAGGGAAAUCUAGAAUUUCAGGACUUGAGGAAGAAAAGCAGAAAUCAUAAACAUCUGAAUAAAUGAGGAUUCAUAUUAUUCAUGUUAACUUGGGAAGAGGGAGUUCUGGUCCCUAGCACCACCACCCCCAGCAUUUGCAGACUGACCAAGGUCCUCAUUAUGAUUGUUCAAGUAUGAAAGUGUCUGUGCAGUCUUUCACUUGAGGAGAAUGUGUUUUGGUUUCUUGAUGGUGCUGUGAUACUGUCAAGUAGGCUGAACUGCCAUUCAUCUCACCAAGAGAAACUAACAUUUUCAACUAGAACUUACACAGAGAAAUGCAUGCAGAAAAUACGUGUCAUCCUGCAUGCCUGCAACCUCCCUGAGAAUCUCCCCAUCACAACAGAUGUUCUCCAGCCAGCACUCGUCGAGGGCCAGGCAGAGUGGAUGCGUGGCAGGUGUCACCACAUUGGACAAAACCCUAGGCCUCAGCAGCCCCAGAGAGAGGUCAGCAGCUUUUCUCAAGGGGUUACGUUGUUCCAGAUCUCUCCAGCAUUUGGAAUACAGUUGAGUUGCACACUUAACAUUCUUCUUUAAUUAUGAAGCUGGAAUAAACAUUAGUAGAUGCCAGAUCCAACUGUGGACGGGGACAAAAGUGCACCGGCCAGCGGAGGAAGGAGCGCGGGUCCUGCUGUGGUCGUUCGCCACAUGAAAUAAAAAUGAUGGAUGGUCCACAUUAUCAUCCUUUGAAAGAAGGACACGGGAGACUGUUUCCAUUUGGCAAUUUCUUUGUUUACAAAAAAGGAAAGGUGGGAGAGGCCUGGGUUCCCACAGGCGUAUGUGGUGUUUUGCAACUUCUUUGAAAAGCUGCGAGGGAAGCAAGGCCUUUGCCAGCGGAGGGGUCCUGAGGACGGUGGUUGUGGUGGCUGUGGUGUCGCACAAAGGGCUGUAGCUGAGCCCUUUUUGCCACGCUCCGGACUGGCUCCCGGAGCUGCCUAGCGGAAGCGCAUGCCUAGAUGCUCAGGCUCCCAAGGAACCUUAGACCCAUCCCUGCAGCUAUCGGCUGAUUAUUUUCACUCCUGUCAAGGACACUGGUCUUCCAUGGGUGGCCUUCCCCUAGGUCAGCUGCAGCCCUGCGCUCCUCCCAGCUCGAAAGGUUCCACAUUGCUGAUAACUGCUGUGGACAGAACCACGUGCCCCAAAGUUCACAGGCAGAAGCCCUCACCCUCAAUGUGACUAUACCUGGAGACAGAACCUUUAAAGAUAUAUUUAUGGUUAAAUGCAUCAGGAGUGAGCUGCCUGGUUUCAAAUGGGUCAUUUGACUUCGGGGACUAAGGACACUAGUUGUGGGUUUCAUUCUUUUCUUUCUUGGCAUACGGGACCCAAUUACUCUUAUUCUCACAUUACUCUCAAAGACCACUACCCCGUGCCCCAGUCCAGAUCCCAGUGGGGGUGACUCAGGCCUUGCAAAUCCAAUUAUCUCCUCUGGCCAUGGAUGGGUCCAGGAGAGGGAGAGGUGACCCAGUCAGAAUCGACAAGAAGCCAAGAGACUCUGGGCUUCAAGGGAAGCGAUUCUUGCCCUGGGGAAGCCCAAAGUGGGAGGAAGCUGGGUCUCUGACCGAAGGCCGCUGGGGGACAGGCCUGUGCAAAUAGCAGUGACAGAGUGGCAGUGACUAAUUCCUGGUCAAACCACACAAAAAGGCAGAAUAACUUCUGAGUAGGAUGCG